AAAGAGAGUGAAAGCAUUCUAAAAUGUGUUUAUUGUAAGGCCCAAAGAAGACACAUCCUUGCCAAAAACUUUAAUGAAAUAAAUGAUGAUUAAGGCAUGUCACAUUUAAUGUCUAAAUCAUCUAAAUCUGAGUGCUGACACUGUUUUUUCAUCUCUCUCAGUUCUCGUCUCACAGCUCAGUACAGUUAACGUGAACCACAGCUUUGUCAGAGAGAAGCACAUGGACUCUGAAGAUAAAUGACUUUCAAAGCUAAUGAUUGCAUUCCUUUCUCUAAAGUGGAAUGUGAUCGGGAAAGUGAGAGUCUUAAAAACUGCCCAUCAGCGCCUGUGACCCCGCACGGCCCCGGCUAACAACCAGAGCUGCCUGGGAUGCUCGGGGCGAGUAACAUAAGACAAAUUCUGCGAGACACUCUUGCAAUCCUGGUGUGGCACGCAGUCUUCUCGUCUCACUGAAAUACCUUCAAAGCCCUCGUAGAUAUGCCAGCUCAGAUACCAGCUUCUUUUCACAGGUCAUGCAACCUCCAGUCGCCAUUUUCAUUUCUCUGACAUGUGUGUUGCUUGUUUGUUUGGUAAACAUGUUACACCUGUCAGAGGCAUGCUGGUUGCUAACGGGCCAAGUCCAACAACAUUUAUUCUAUUCUGCGGACGCUUUCCCCUUCUUCUCGCCUCUCUGCUUUUUCCAUCUGUUGCCCUCGCAGCAGUGAAUACAGUAAGUGUGAAGCAGUGAACGUGUGAGGAAACGUGUGCAUGUGUGUGUGUGUGCUGUGUGUGGAUGUGUUAGCACGCACAAACACAGGCUACUGGGUUGUUGUCUGGAUUGCUGUCUUGUAAUGGAGAUAGAGACACUGUUUUAUUUAUCCCUCCCCCAGCUGUCACUGUUGUGUCUGGAGCGAGUUCGCUGAACUCUGGGCGAUGGGACACUUGGAGAACUGUCAAAUCCACUAACCCUCCAAACCAUGCAGAAUGUUACAGCCCAGAACACACCCUGAUUUCUUAGUAUGGAAAACAACAGGGACAUUCAAGAAAUGUGCAACCUUUAUCUGACUCCUCGCCUUCAUAUUUAUGUGUACAGUAAAAGCAAAACAGCAACAACAACAACAGUUUGUAUGUAAGGACAUUCAAUCAAGGCACUUCUCACUAAAGGAAGUUUUUAAAACUCAAAUAACAUGAACCCAGGGAAAGUGGAUGUAUUUCAAAUGUUUGAAAAUGUGAGAGUUCAUACUGUAACAUACUUUUGAGUGUUUUUGAACAGACUCAAGUAAGCAUGUCUCUUUAUAAACUUAAGCAAAGUAGAAUA